CUGCUAGCCAGCCGCCGCCGUUCAGAUUUUUUCACUGGCUUCUCUGUUGUUCUAGUUUUCUUCACGGGCAGGCUGCAGCUCUGUAGAUUUUCUCCAUCCCGCCAGCAGCCCAGCACAACCGCUCGUCAGAUUUGCUGCUAGCUUCUCCCGUGGCUGUUCUUCAAGAGUCCGACGCCCACGAGCUUCCACCCUCUGACUCCCAUGCUGCCCGCACUACCAUCUCGUGUGAAGGAAGAGCUGUGCCCGAGAAAGUUCUGCAGAUGUGUUGCUGGCCUGCUGUGCACCAGUUCUUCACGUGGCGGCUCUCCAAAAGACAGGGAAACCAGUGAAGCUAAAUGGACCAAUUGAUGUGACUUGGAACCAUGGUGAACCAUAUCCUGGACCUCAUGGGGCUGGCUUUAAGUGCUUUUAUUGUUUUACCACCAAAAAAGGCGGGGGGUGUCUCGAUUAAAAGAGAAUCUAGGUCACAUACUAGGGAGUGUGGAGGCAUGUCGUAAAGUGCCAAAUCAUGUGAAGGACCUAAUGUCUCAAAAAGUAACGGAUGGGAGAAUUAGGAGGGCACGUGGUAAGAAGCUUCGUUUGUUUGUUGAAAAGGAGGUUAGUGCAAUAAGACAUGGUUAUCAAAGUGCAAGAAUUCCUUUUGAUGAAGAAGCACAGAUUGAUAUGGCAAUGAGAAAUUCAUUGAGGGAUUCUUUUUCCACAUUGGAACAUGAUAGUUGUUCACCUUUUGAUAAGUCAACUGGUAGUGCAAGUGGAGCUGCAAGUUGUUCUACAGGGAAGCAAAGUAGGCUGUCAAGGUACUACAAGAAUACACAAGAUACCUCUAGAGGUCCUUUUGACAUUGACUUGGCACGCAGUAGGACACAAGUGCAGCCACACAUAGAUGUUAUGCUAGAGAGGGGUCACAAAGAGAAGCUAGGGAUAGCAUUGGCAAAAAAGUUCCAUGCUAAUGACAUUCCUGGAAGGAAGGCAGACUGCCCAUACUUUCGUUCAGCCCUUAAGUUAGCUCAACAACUUGGUGAUGGAGUACCAAUUCCACGUGGGAGAGAAAUAGAUGGUCCAUUAUUGGAUAUGAAUUAUGCAAACAUGGUGGCUCACAUGGCUAAAUUUAAAGAGGAUUGGAAGGAUUAUGGAGUUACAGUCAUGUGUGAUUCAUGUACAGGUCCUACCAUGAUGUCCAUUAUUAACUUUAUGAUCUUUUGCAAUGGGCGCAUGUUCUUCCACAAGUCAGUAAAUGCAACUGGUCUAAUUCAAAAUUCUGAUUAUAUCUAUGGAGUUAUAUCUGAGGUGGUUGCUGAUAUUGGGAUCAAGCAUGUUGUUCAGAUCAUCACUAAUAAUGGCUCAAACUAUAAAAAGGCCUGUCUAGACUUCACAACAAAAUAUCCACAUUGUAACGCCCUGAAUUUGGGGGUAGAAUUUUUUCUUCUUUAAUACUCACCAAAUUCAGGUGUUACUCUCUUUUUCUCUUCCCGCUUCGCUCCUUCCUUCCCAAAUUCAAAGCAGUAUAGCGACUAGUGUCAGUAUCGUGUGUAAACAAAAACCUAAGUUGUCAUGGGUGUUGCAUCAUGCCGAAGCAUAUCUCUUUUGUUUGAUGUCAUGUUUAAUCGAGC
rnacentral:misc_RNA from 1 species